GAUAUUUCCCCCCCUCUUCAUUGGAGGCAAAUAAAUAACUACGGAACUACUGUAAGACUGCAUUGGAGUUGGAGGGUUUUCUUCUCAGAUUUUGGAUGACAAUAUGAUAGGAUUGUCAUGGCUGGAGCCUUUGCGUGAUUGUGUUAUAGCAUUCUGUGAAUGCUCUUAGCAAAAAGUCUUAUUUUUCAAUGUGAUAAAGUUCAUUGUCUGUGCUUCUAAGUUCCUACUGAAUUUGAUAGUGAAUGCAAGCGAUUAACAAUUACACGUCCUCAGAAUUCCUGAUUUGUUUCCUGUGUCAGGACUGCAAGUCUAUUAAGAAGCGAUUAGGGAGGAUCUCCUUCAAGUCUCCUUCACAUCAAGAUUCUCCCUUUUUUGGUUCAGUUAACUUGAGGGUAUACAUGAACCUAAUGCACUUCUUGAGGUCUACUGCUGGAAGUUUUCUUCUUUUGAGUACCUAAAAAACAAUUAGCCAGUACACUUUUAGUAAAAUAUUGGCUCUUUGAAAGGGAAUAUGUGUGUGCUUGCAUCUUUGUAAUUCAGCAACGAGUGGAUUCAUUAUGAUCAUUAGAUUCCUGUGGUGGUGUUAUAUCAGGUACGUUUUCAUCAGUACUGCUGCUAGUAUCACCAGCUAAUGUGAAGAUUAAGAUAAACUGAAGACUAUUUCCUGUAUAGUCAAUAUGAGUCUUAAUUUCAGAGAAGAUGAAGUGCCAGAUCCCAAGAGAGCCUAAGCACCAACACUUCCAUUGAUGCAUCUUUUUCAGCCCCUCUCAGGUUCUGCAUAUUAACAAUAAUGCUGCUAAUUUGCUUCUUAAAUCUGAACACACUGUGUUAUUAGGCUUAGUUUAUCAGCAUAGUUUAUUGUUUGUGUUUUUUUUCCUUUCCUAUAAUCUAACAGUUUUAGUCCUUUCAGUUCAUUACUGAGUCAGAAACAUCACCGUCUAGUGUAUUUCCUCACUGUCUGCUGUCUUUUCCUCUUGCAUUUAAAGAAAUAGUUACUAAUUCACUGUAAUCAUUGACAUUUCCUCUGCUUUCAUUUGCUUCUGUACCACUAGCUGUUUCCUCAAUUUCAUUAUUAUCAAACAGCUCUUCAGUGAUAGACUGCUGUUCCUCAUCUUCAUAUUGAUAAUUUUAUUUUCACAUGCAUCAUCCUGAUUUUCAACAUCUUCAGUGCAGUCCUCAGAAGAUGAGUCAUUUGCAGCAGACAGAUUUUCAUUACUGGAGUCAUCUGUAGAGUCAGAAUGUGUUGGUCUAUUCUCAGGGAUAUUGUUUGCUCCUCUGUGCCUUUCAUUAUCUCUUGGAAGGGAUGUGCCUGAUGUACUUGCUUGGUCAUUAUCUAGAUAAUUAAAAUCAAAUGUACUUAUUUUGUAGAUUAAACAAGAACAUUUUUUAUAAUGAUUGUUCGUCUUUGAAGUUUUAAAAACAGCAUAAAUGUUGAACUUGAUUCCACUGGCUUUUUAAACAUUAAAUGUAAGAAAUAUUUUCAUUCAAUAGGCAAAGCUGUUAAUUUUUAAUAGGUUUGCUUCCUGAAAAUGUACAUGUUGACAUAGCAUCGUUUUGCAAAAAGUGGAAGAAAAUACAUGAAAGUGCAAGUUCUGGAAGCUUCUAUAUAAAGAUUUUCAUUUACAUAUAUGACAGCAGUUCCUGUUAUGGGCUAGAAAUAAUGCUAAGAAAGGUAAGUGUGGCUACAAGAUUUAUAUGGGUAAAUUUUCUACCAAGUAGAAUGGAUAGAGAAAUGGUAUAUAUGUAAUAAAUUAGUUUGCAAAGUCUGAGACUGUCCCUGC
rnacentral:lncRNA from 1 species